GCGGUUGUGGAAAGUUUACCUUCAGAGACCAACUUGAGAAAACAUCCAAGGUUCACAGAAGAAAAUGUUGAAAAGAACAAGGUAUUUUAUAUUCGAAUCGAAAAUUUGUCAAAAAAUUAUGGAUGUACUUCUGCACAGCUUGCUCUUGCAUGGGUUCUCAAUCAAGGGGAUGAUGUUGUCCCCAUUCCUGGUACGACCAAGAUUAAAAAUCUUAUUGACAAUAUUGGAGCAUUGAAAAUCAAGCUAGCAAAAGAAGAGUUGAAGGAGAUUUCUGACGCUGUCCCCAUCAAUGAGGUAGCUGGAAAUAGAUCUUUCAAUUUCCGCCAGACCUUUAAGUUUGCGAAUACACCG
rnacentral:misc_RNA from 1 species